rnacentral:misc_RNA from 1 species
AACGUGCCUGGAAGCAAGUUGAUGUUAACUGCCCCAGUAAGUUAGUUGGAUUCAGUUGCAAGAGAUCCAAAACAUAAAUUAUUAUGCUGUUAAUCUGCAUUAUAUGGUCCUGAACACCAGACUUUCAGCCAUGUAGAUUAUAUUAAAUUUGGAAAUGCCGAGCUGUUGGCGAGAAAAUGUGCAGUUGAUGUUUUAUUUUUACAAGCUUAUUUUUCCUCAUGGUUAUGCGUGCUGACUGAGCAUAUGUUUGUUCUUACACCUUGACUUCAGAGGACAAUGUAUUGACUAUUGAGAGGACUCUCUCUCAUUAUACUGUUUGUUCAAAUUCAUUAGAUUGAUGCAGUAGGGACUGUAAAAACUCAUAACUUGAUUGAAACACUUUUGCAGCUAGUAUAUUUUACUUGUACUAAAUGCGUCCAUUCCUUGGGCAGAUGAUUAAUGUCCAUUGCAGAAUCUGGAUUUUUGAGAAAGGUGUCACCGUGUCUUUAGCAGAACUCAAUACAGUUCUAUUGUUUUACAGCGUUAAUAUGGAUGGGGAAAAUGGCAACACCAUUUUUUAUGAUUCCAAUAUAUUGUCUCAAAACAUUGUGGCCAUUUUUAUUGAGAAAAAAUGUUAUGGAUAGGCAUAAUGUGCUGUUUUGGCUUUCUCUUUUUUCAGAUGAGAUGUGUGGUGUUUUUGUAAAGGGUUGUUCCAACUCCUAAAAAUGCAUUGUGUUUAUAGAGUGCCACUUAAUUGAUUGACUAACUCCAUCAAAAUAGUUCCAUUUGGGUUUGAAGGAGUCCUUUGUUGGCAAUUUUUUUUCUCUUAUUUUUGCGAUUGUGUUUUCACAAGGCCAGUAUAGCUACUAGACUGAAACUACUGCAAAGGGCCAGCUCUAUUUUUAAGUUGUUCCUUUUCUGCAAGACUUCGGUGGUUAUGGAAUUUUUAUUUCUUUUUUCUGCCCUACUAAUAAAGAAUGUGAAUUGUAUUAGAAGGAUUAGAUCUUCAGAAGU